CCUACGGGAGGCUGCAGUGGGGAAUAUUGGACAAUGGGGGCAACCCUGAUCCAGCCAUGCCGCGUGUGUGAAGAAGGCCCUCGGGUUGUAAAGCACUUUCAGUGAGGAAGAACGCCUGGUGGUUAAUACCCAUCAGGAAAGACAUCACUCACAGAAGAAGCACCGGCUAACUCCGUGCCAGCAGCCGCGGUAAUACGGAGGGUGCGAGCGUUAAUCGGAAUUACUGGGCGUAAAGCGCGCGUAGGUGGCUUGAUAAGCCGGUUGUGAAAGCCCCGGGCUCAACCUGGGAACGGCAUCCGGAACUGUCAAGCUAGAGUGCAGGAGAGGAAGGUAGUAUUCCCGGUGUAGCGGUGAAAUGCGUAGAGAUCGGGAGGAAUACCAGUGGCGAAGGCGGCCUUCUGGACUGACACUGACACUGAGGUGCGAAAGCGUGGGUAGCAAACAGGAUUAGAUACCCGUGUAGUC
rnacentral:rRNA from 1 species